UACGUAGGGGGCAAGCGUUGUCCGGAAUUAUUGGGCGUAAAGAGCGUGUAGGCGGUCCGGUAAGUCGGCUGUGAAAGUCCAGGGCUCAACCCUGGGAUGCCGGUGCGAUACUGCCGGACUAGAGUUCGGAAGAGGCGAGUGGAAUUCCCGGUGUAGCGGUGAAAUGCGCAGAUAUCGGGGAGGAACACCUAUGGGCGAAGGCAGCUCGCUGGGACGUUACUGAC
rnacentral:rRNA from 1 species